rnacentral:rRNA from 1 species
AUUGAACGCUGGCGGCAGGCCUAACACAUGCAAGUCGAGCGGAUGAAGGGAGCUUGCUCCUGGAUUCAGCGGCGGACGGGUGAGUAAUGCCUAGGAAUCUGCCUGGUAGUGGGGGAUAACGUCCGGGAACGGGCGCUAAUAUCGCAUACGUCCUGAGGGAGAAAGUGGGGGAUCUUCGGACCUCACGCUAUCAGAUGAGCCUAGGUCGGAUUAGCUAGUUGGUGGGGUAAAGGCCUACCAAGGCGACGAUCCGUAACUGGUCUGAGAGGAUGAUCAGUCACACUGGAACUGAGACACGGUCCAGACUCCUACGGGAGGCAGCAGUGGGGAAUAUUGGACAAUGGGCGAAAGCCUGAUCCAGCCAUGCCGCGUGUGUGAAGAAGGUCUUCGGAUUGUAAAGCACUUUAAGUUGGGAGGAAGGGCAGUAAGUUAAUACCUUGCUGUUUUGACGUUACCAACAGAAUAAGCACCGGCUAACUUCGUG